GAUGAACGCUGGCGGCGUGCCUAAUACAUGCAAGUCGAGCGAACAGACGAGGAGCUUGCUCCUCUGACGUUAGCGGCGGACGGGUGAGUAACACGUGGAUAACCUACCUAUAAGACUGGGAUAACUUCGGGAAACCGGAGCUAAUACCGGAUAAUAUAUUGAACCGCAUGGUUCAAUAGUGAAAGACGGUUUUGCUGUCACUUAUAGAUGGAUCCGCGCGGCAUUAGCUAGUUGGUAAGGUAACGGCUUACCAAGGCAACGAUGCGUAGCCGACGUGAGAGGGUGAUAGGCCAAACGGGAAGUGAGAAACGGUCAAGAGUCCUACGGGAGGCAGCAGGAGGGAAUCUUCCGCAAUGGGCGAAAGACUGACGGAGCAACGCCGCGUGAGUGAUGAAGGUCUUCGGAUCGUAAAACUCUGUUAUUAGGGAAGAACAAAUGUGUAAGUAACUAUGCACGUCUUGACGGUAACUAAUCAGAAAGCCACGGCUAACUACGUG
rnacentral:rRNA from 1 species